rnacentral:rRNA from 1 species
UACGAAGGGGGCUAGCGUUGUUCGGAAUUACUGGGCGUAAAGGGCGCGUAGGCGGCGUGUCAAGUCAGGCGUGAAAGCCCCGGGCUCAACCUGGGAACCGCGCUUGAGACUGGCAUGCUCGAGUUCGGGAGAGGAUGGUGGAAUUCCCAGUGUAGAGGUGAAAUUCGUAGAUAUUGGGAAGAACACCGAUGGCGAAGGCAGCCAUCUGGACCGAAACUGACGCUGAGGCGCGAAAGCGUGGGGAGCAAACAGG